GUGAUUAAAUCGAGCGUGUCAUUCAUUGACCGCUCACCCUUCUCACCAUCCACAUACACCUGUGCACUGUUUAGCCUGAGCCGGUUUUCCGGUCCAGGUUAUCAUUUCAUACAAACUCUAGUCUUAUGAAUGUAAACGUUUUAAUAACAUAAUA
rnacentral:misc_RNA from 1 species